AAAUUCCAGAAGAAGAGAACAGAGAGAAAAAGGAGAGUAGCAAUAUAUAAAGAUUCAAAGGUGGCAAAUUGACCAGUAUUGAAUGCAAAAAAAAAAAAAAAAAAUUCCCAAUAAGAAGGAACACAACUGGAUUUACAGCAGAAUAAAUGAAAAUUUAUACCUAAAAACAUUAGUGAUUCUGCAGAACAUCAAAGAUAAAAAAUCUUAAAAGCUACCAGCAUAAUGACAAUCAGACAGGCAGCAGGCUUCUCAUUAGGAGUGAUAGGAACCAGAAGAGAAAUAAUUACAGCCUCAGAAUGCUAAAGAAAAUAACUGUCAACUUAGAAAAAUAUACCCCAGGUAAUUAUCAUUCAACACAGAGAGGGUGAAAUAAAGACAAUUUCAGAUAAAAAUGAAAGAGGUUACUACUCAUAUAUCCUUGCUAGAAGAAUUUCUAAAAAACUUCAGUGAGAAGGAAAUUGAACCCAAAAGGAAGAAUUAGGCUAACAGAAACCAUUGUGAGCAAAGAAAUUGGUAAAUAUGUAGGUAAAUCUUAACAACAAUAAUUCAUAUUAAUAACUUUUUGAAAGAGUAUAAAAAUAUGGUGGAACUAAAAUGCUAAUCAAUAAAUUGCAUGAAAAAUGGAAGAGAUUGAUUUAACAUUCUAAGAUCCUUCUGUUGUUUAACAAGAGAACAGAAAUACACAUUAACAUUAGUCUUUAAGUAACAUAUGCAUGUUUUAAAAAUUAAGAAUAACUAUUUGUCUGGAAAUAGAAUGCUUAACUUCCAAACCAGUAAAAAAGAAAAUAAAAAAAAAACCAGAAUAAAGAAAACUCAUCAAUAUUAUAGAAGGUAUAGAAGAGGGAACUAAAAAAAAAAAAAAAUCAAAACAGAAAACACAGAGAUGGUAGAAGUCCAAAUGCAUUAAUCGUAAUAAAGGUAGACAUAUCAAAUUUUCCCAUUAAAAGAGACUUUCAAUUUGGGUUUUUAAAAAAUCCAGGCAUAGGAUGUUCACAAAAGACUUGCCUAAAAUAUAAGGUCACAGAAAAAGAUUGAAAAUGAAGAUAUAAAACAAGAUGUGCUAGGCAAAUAUUAACCAAAAGGAAUGUGGGCUAGCAACAUUGAUAUAAAAUAAGAGUGUAAGAGCAAAAGCUCUAAUAAGGAUAAAGUGGGAUAUUACUUAUUGAUAAAAGGAAAAAUCCAACAAGGAGAUUUACUUAUCAGCUGGCUGGGGCGGUCCUGCCUGAUCCUGUCCAGGUGGGUCCAGCCAAGAGAGGCUCCCGGUCGUGAGGAGUGGAGGAGCAGCUCCCUGGUCUGGCUGCGUUGCUUUGUCUUGCACCUGCCUGGGCUGGGGACGGUAGAACAACACAGGGCACUGCUAGGAAAAGAUGUUUUUCUCAGGUACAGCUUAUAAUUGUUGCAUAAUUUAGGUACUUGUUUAUUAUAAACUUUUAGUAUUUGGAUUUUGUAAGUUUCGGGGGUGAGAAGAAACUGUUAACCAGAAUUCCCCAAAACCAGGCAGGAAAAGAGCUAAGUCCUCCACAAGAUUAAAAAAUACCAAAUACCACUGAUAUACCCUUGGGAUUUCUCUCCAACUCAUUCUGUAAGUGGGAGGGACCCAAGGGGAUCUAGGAUUUGAGGCCAAAGUGGAGGGUUUGGUAUAUAUCCUUUCGUGGAUCAGAUGACAGGAAGCCUGAGGUGAGGGAGGGGCAGUUAUAAAGAGCAUGAUUGAGACAAUUGAAGGGUUUUGCCUAUGAACUCAUAAAUGAGGCAAAAUUUAAAAGUACCUGAAAGUGAUCGUCACACUGUUCAGUACAGACAGAUAUCCCUGGUCUUAAAGAUAACUGCGGAAGUCUUUUGGGAUGAAGUGUCAUUCAGGUCAGCCACUAACACACAAGGGUUUCAGAAAGAGAAAGGGAGAGAUGGUUUAACCCAGUGUGGACACAGUUACCAAUUGCUCUUCUGGGUCAGAGUAUAUGAGCAUUCAUUGCAACAGUGAACUUGGCUGGACAGUUUAAAGUACCUCAAAAUAAAAAGCUGGAAGAAAAGAAACAGUUUCAAAACAAAUACAGAGGCACCUAAUGAAAUAAUGAAUCUAGUCAAUGAUAGUAAACGGCUGUUAAAACCAUUAAGUGAAAAGCUGAUGGAAGGAAAAAAGCUGAAGGAGAACUUUGUAAUGGAUAGAUCCAUUCGGCAGCAACCGAACCUGCUGAUUAUAUUAUAUUAUAUUAUAAAAAGAAAAGCGACGAGAAAUUAUGUGGUCCUAAUGUGAUGCAAUGGGACUUUCAUGCCACCCCUGAAAUAUUCUUGCCAAAAAAUCAAAUCUAAAGCCAAGUGAUUCUGGAAUCUACCAAUUUCAAAGGACAGAGAAACAUGUUAAAUGAUACCACAGGGGUGCCCUCAGCAAAAUCCUGGAAUGAGGAGGGCAAUUCUGUACGACAAAUGGCCCACAAUUUCUUCAAUAAAUUGCAAGAAAGGGGAAGAAAGUGUAACCUAUGGAAUAAAAAGCCACAUUGACCACAUCCAGUGUGGGGGCCUGGAUUAGAAACCAAUUCAGGGAAAUUUGAAUAAGGAAUUAUUCCUUAUUCAAUUAUUCCUUACUCUGAUGAGAGGAAGGAAUUAUAGCUCAUUUUUUAUUUAAGUGAGAUGAUGCUAUUGGGGGUAAUGUUAAAUGAGUCCUUAGUUUUUAGAAAUGCAUAUUAAAAUAUUUGCGCGUGAGCUGAUUUGAUGUCUGUGUCCCAACAGUCCCGGCGGAUGGAAGAAAUAGGAUCGGCUCUAUGUUGACAGUUGUUGAAACCAGCUAAUAGGUAUAUGGAUUUAAAAAUAUAUAUAUUUGAAACUCUUUCAGAAUAAACUCUUGACAAAUAAGUAAACCCAAGCCAUUCCAGUAUUUUCCCAAUAUAUUGUCCCAAAGAAGGCUCUUCAGUGUUAGAAAGAACAGAUUUUCCCUCACAAGUAAAACACAGGUGAGGUCUGAGAGAGAAUUCCAAGUCGGGGGUAAAACCCAGGCCCUUCAUGGGGGUCCACAUCCUCUUUCGAGUGGAGUGCCACUCACUUGGGGGUAGGGACUCUGUCCUUUGUGUUUCAAAUCAAACUGUUCCCUGUUGGGUGGAAGCAAAAGAUUACAUCUGGGCUGCUGCCUGGUCCAACCUGGGCUAAGAAAUGGGGUUUGCAAAGGCUGGUGGGUUGGAAUCAGGGUAGAGGGAGGAGGUGUAAUUAGAUGUGUCCUUUUUGUGAGGCCUGGAUGCACUGGAGGUCCGAGAUCAGAGAUCAGAUGGGGUUGGCGGGAUGGGUGUGUCACUAAGGUGGGCAGGCUCUGCGGAGACACAAGACACGCACAAGACGCUUCAAGAGCUCGCCUUCCUGGCCCGACCUUCCUGGACUUCAUGUCUUUAUCGUGGGUGCCAGUUCUCUGGGACACAGACAGAGGUCCUGCCCAUCUCUCCUCACUGGCCCUCGUGCAGCCCCAUCUGGAGGCCCAUCUCCUUCCCACUACGGUCCCCUUUUUUCUCUGUCCAGUUCUCUGACCCAUUUACAUUCUCUCCCUCCUUGAGCUCCCUCCUUGUCUCCAUUCGCUAUUCCCUGUCCUCCGCCCUGCCAGACACCCCAGUUCAGGGUCCAGGAGAAGGACAGCUUUUAUGUGGCUUGUAAAAUUCUAUUAUAUCUGUAUUCAAAACCUAGCAGCUGAGAAACACUGGUAAUAAGCGUGUUAUUAAGCGUGUAAAUACACUUCCACUCCAAGGCCUCCAAGGUGCAGGGGACAGUUUCCCAACCUGGGCAUCUCCCCUGCUUGUAAGUCUCUCCCCACCUGGCCUCCAUCCCAGACUUAGACCUUGUGCCCAGGCCCAGGCCUCCUCCAGCCUCCAACCUCCACCGUCCCACACAACCCAGACUCUUGGAGAAAGGGGGCGGGGGAGAGGGCCGAAGAAAAAAAACAUUAGGAAAAAAACUCCCACCCAGAGAGCAUUCUUUCUGCAGCACUCAGGAAAAAGGAUGUCUCACAGGGGACGGGAAGGCGAAAUUUUUUCACAUCCAAAUGGAUUGCAAUUUCCCUCCAUUUAGCACCUGAAGGUAAUUAGCUCGAAGAGACUGCCGAGUGCGAAACACGUUCACGGAACAUUAACUCUCACACAUUCUCCAGUUGCAGGGAAUUAAUAGGAAAGAUUAAAGUUUAAAGAGAGCAAAAUGCCAUUACCUCGCCAGCCACCUCUCUCCGCGGCAGUAUCCAGCCCCCGAAAACCUUCGGCCAGUGCUUGGGCCGGGGUUCGGGUCUCAGCCGCCAGCCUGCCUGACUGGGGCAUCUGGGUGUGUCCCAUGAAGAGGGCUAGCAUGUGCUGAUGGGCAUGCACAUGUGCAAAAAAGGGCAGUUCUGACCCUUCAUGAGGCUCAUGCGACCCCCUUCCCAUCACCAAGAAGUCUGGAGUGGACAGGGCAGGUGUGUUCUCAUAGGUGGACUCCUGGCAUUGGUGUGUACGGUGGCCCCAGGUGGGGGCGAUGUUAGGAAGGGUUAGUAGCGUGGGUGUGCCCUGUGAUUUUGGUGCAGGGGGUGAGAUCUGGCAGCUUGGCUGGAGAGAGAGAAAUGGAGGGUGUCACCCCCACCUUGGGUGUGUACAGGGGCCCUGGGUGCGGUGAUGGAGAGUUGCUUCCACUCUUGUGGGGCAGGCAGGAGCCACAAACAUAGCCACAAACACACACAUGCGGGCUCCCCCUGCCCCACACAGACGGCCUCUGUCACUCUGCUUUUUUCAAAGUUUAUGUAGGCUUCAAAUUUGAAGCGUUUCUGUGUUGCUUCAGUAUUUUAGGGAAAGAUGAAAGACAGAGAGAGGGAGACAGAGAGAGAGUGGGGGAGAGAGAGAGAGAGUGAGGGGCAGAGGCAGGCAGGAGAGAGAGAGCGCGAGAUGAAAUUGAGACAUGGAAGAAUUUAUUGCCCAGAAAAUUCCAUUCUGCUAUCUGAUUCAAAAAGUCCAGUCCCCCCAGCUUCGGAAAAUCUAUUUUCCACAUUUUAAUACCCUGCAGAACAGUCCUCAUAACUCAUCCGAGUGUGUUAAGCACAGUUUUAUUAGAUCUGAAACAAAUUUUGGUGGGGAGAUACUAUAGGUCAUUAACCAUGGAGUAAUUUUAUCCUUGUUUCCCUAAUGAUGCCAUAAUGGCGAGCGAAUUUCUUAACUAAAGACCAAAGAACAUUUUGAAGGUCAGUUUCAUCUGUGAGCUCCUUCAAGCGCUUCUCAGAGAAGAUUGGAAAACUCGCCGAUUUUUUGAAGAGUCAUUAAUAAUGUGAAAGCUGAAAGCACCCUCCAUUUGCGUUCCUGCUUUUUACCUUUUAAUUUUAUAUCGUCCCCGCUCAGAGCCCCGCUCCCACUCCCUCACCCUCCUCUGGACCUCCCGCCUGCCUCCCCACCCCACGCAGGGAACAAGGCUGCCCGGUACUACCAGGUACCGGGCUAGCUGUGAGGGGCACACGGGGGGGCAGCAGGGGAGGCAAAAAGAGCCAGAGAAGCCAGGGCCCCGCCGAGAUGGGCGCCUCAGCUGUAGUCCCAGCAUAGGGGGCACUGCGUGAGGGGAUUGUUAUAGGCGUGGCACACACGUGUGUGUGUGCAUGUGUGCAAAGGUGCAGUACAGGGGACUGGGGUCUCUGGAUUGGGUGCUGGCCGUGCACACACACACGUUAGGGAUGGAUGGGGAUCUACUGGUCUCUCUAGGUGAGUGCCCCCUGUUGGAAGCAGGCAGGGAAAGGGAACUGAAAACCAGCCCUGGGUCUGGUGGCCUGGGCAGUGGGGCAGUGGGGGGACUUGUGGUGUCUCCCAAGAGAGAUGGACACUACAUGGAGGGCUUAAAACAAUUUACAGCAGGUUGUAAGCCCUGAUUACAUGUGUGUGCCAACGAGCAUGUAUGUCUUGGGUGUGGGGAGGUCAUCAAGGCAAGAACCCCGAGGACCUACCCCACUGACAAAUAUUUAGACACUAGAGACAGUGGCCAUUGUCUGCUCAUCCCUCACUCCUUAGACCACACACCCCUUUCUCCCCAGGCCUGGACCCCCUCAUUUGCCCACUUUACUUGCCUCCUGAUCUCCAAUCCCCGGUUCCUCGGACCUCCCGCCCCCCACCAGUCCAAUCCCUCCCCCUGAACCCUCAUCCCCCUAGCUCUUCACCUAUCUGCUGGCAGGCAGUGCAGGGUGCCCAGCCAGGAGCUAGGGUGGGACAGCAUUUCUCUGUGUGUGCAGGUUUGGAGAGGAGGGGGCGGUGUGGUGACACUCCAUGCUCCCAGAUGUGGUGGCAGCGAUAAUUCCAAUUUUAUGCCUUUGUUAUGGCUUUAAUCACUUUCUUUAUGCGUUUUGUUCCAGCGAUCAGGGAGAGACACCUGAUAGGCAAAGAGGAUACCAGGGGAACCAUUUUUAUUUGGAAUGUGGUGAGAAGUCUAAUUAGAAUCUGAAUUCUGCUGAGCCUUGAAAUGGCCAGUACUUUAUCCUGAUCGCCUUAGAUAUUGUUUCGAGUCAAUCAUCUGUCAUGGUGCAGCAGGAGAGCCUCUCCCUUCACACUGCACCCCUCCCACCACAGGGCCAGCCAGGGCACACGGCGGGAGCGGGGAGGCUUCUGCCCUUGUAGGGGUAUGUGCCUCCUUCUUAGCGGGAGGCCUGUUUGGUGUGGCUAACCCUCCCCUGGUGAGGGCUGUCUUUGCUGGGUGCUGAGUUUGAGCUCAUGGGGGGCAGAAGGGGAAGAGGGGCUGCAGGAAGAGGGUGCUGAGGGGCUUGUAUGAGAAUUAGGAGAUAUUGAAGUGAGGCCAAGCUAGUCUGGGGUGCCUCCUAAGUGUUCCCAGCGCAGUGACCACCCCACCUCCUCUCUAUCAAUGGCCCACAGGGACUCUCAUCUCUUUACUGUCCCCGGACAUAUUGUCUAUCUGCCCCCUGCUCACUGUUCCUCAAACUCACCACUUUCAUUGCCAACCCCUCCCUGACCCAACGUUUGCUACGCGUUCAGCUCCUUUUCUUUGACUUUCCUCACUCUAGUCCCACCGCUGGAAUACCGCUCCAGUUUGUUCUGCCAUCUGUCAAGUCCCCGGACUGGUUCCGCCUCCUCCAGAAAGCCUUCCCUGACUACCUGAACCCAUACAGCCACAGCACAAAGCUCCAACUCCAGCUCUCCCCUGUUCUCUCCAGUCUCUCAGGAGUCCUCUACCACCUGGAAACUUUCAGCCGUCACCUCCCUGCAGGCAAUGGAAGCACUGAUCUCUAAUUCCAAGCUUCUCUUGAGAUCCAAGCCCACAACCCCAGCAGCGCAAGCCUGACACUUGGACAAGCAGACUCUCAUGCCUCUCCUGAAGCCGGCAACAACCUGUGAGUCCCUGCUUCGCUGACUGCCAUGUCACCCACCCAUUCAACCUCGCAGAGACCUUGGAGCCUCCAGCCCUUCCCCAGUCCUCAUCUUUACCUUCAGUUAGUGUACCAGUUCACAGACAUUUCCUGAUUUCUUUGGCACCCAUCUUUGCCUCACCAUCACCACUGUCCCCGGGAAGGCCCUUAUCACAGCUCCCCCAGGCCUCUCCAAUUCACCCAACAAGCCCCACGCCAUGCCAGUCACCAGGUGCGGCAUCUGCCUCCCUGCACAACUCUCUUAAGUUCCACUGCUCUGGUUGUUCUACUCACGGCUGCCAGAUUCAUUUUCCUAAAGCACAGCUCUAAUCAUGUCACUCCCCUGCUCAAAAACCCUCAAUGGCUCCCCACUGCCUACUAAAUAAAGUACAAACUCCUGACUCUGAUAUUCAUGGCC